rnacentral:rRNA from 1 species
GGGGAAUAUUGGACAAUGGGGGGAACCAUGAUCCAGCCAUGCCGCGUGUGUGAAGAAGGCCUUAUGGUUGUAAAGCACUUUCAGUCAGGAGGAAGGUGUUGUAGCUAAUAUCUGCACCAAUUGACGUUACUCGCAGAAUAAGCAGCGGCUAACUCUGUGCCAGCAGCCGCGGUAAUACAGAGGGUGCGAGCGUUAAUCGGAUUUACUGGGCGUAAAGCGUGCGUAGGCGGCUUUUUAAGUCGGAUGUGAAAUCCCCGAGCUUAACUUGGGAAUUGCAUUCGAUACUGGGAAGCUAGAGUAUGGGAGAGGAUGGUAGAAUUCCAGGUGUAGCGGUGAAAUGCGUAGAGAUCUGGAGGAAUACCGAUGGCGAAGGCAGCCAUCUGGCCUAAUACAGACGCUGAGGUACGAAAGCAUGGGGAGCAAACA